UUGGUUAAGUUAGAAAGGGCGCACGGUGGAUGCCUUGGCACUAGGAGCCGAAGAAGGACGGGACUAACACCGAUAUGCUUUGGGGAGCUGUACGUAAGCGUUGAUCCAGAGAUUUCCGAAUGGGGGAACCCACUAUCUUUAGUCGGAUAGUAUCCUUACGUGAAUACAUAGCGUAAGGAAGGCAGACCCAGGGAACUGAAACAUCUAAGUACCUGGAGGAAGAGAAAGAAAAAUCGAUUUCCUGAGUAGCGGCGAGCGAAACGGAAAGAGCCCAAACCAAGAAGCUUGCUUCUUGGGGUUGUAGGACACUCUAUACGGAGUUACAAAAGAAAGUUAUAAAUGAAGCGGUCUGGAAAGGCCCGCCAAAGACGGUAACAGCCCGGUAGUUGAAAUGGCUUUCCCUCCAGAGUGGAUCCUGAGUACGGCGGAACACGUGAAAUUCCGUCGGAAUCCGGGAGGACCAUCUCCCAAGGCUAAAUACUCCCUAGUGACCGAUAGUGAACCAGUACCGUGAGGGAAAGGUGAAAAGCACCCCGGAAGGGGAGUGAAACAGUUCCUGAAACCGUGUGCCUACAAGUAGUUAGAGCCCGUUAAUGGGUGAUAGCGUGCCUUUUGUAGAAUGAACCGGCGAGUUACGAUUUGUUGCAAGGUUAAGCGGAAAAAGCGGAGCCGUAGCGAAAGCGAGUCUGAAUAGGGCGCAUAAGUAACAGGUCGUAGACCCGAAACCAGGUGAUCUACCCAUGUCCAGGAUGAAGGUAAGGUAAUACUUACUGGAGGUCCGAACCCACGCACGUUGAAAAGUGCGGGGAUGAGGUGUGGGUAGCGGAGAAAUUCCAAUCGAACUUGGAGAUAGCUGGUUCUCUCCGAAAUAGCUUUAGGGCUAGCCUCGAGGUAAAGAGUCAUGGAGGUAGAGCACUGUUUGGACUAGGGGCCCUUCUCGGGUUACCGAAUUCAGAUAAACUCCGAAUGCCAUGUACUUAUACUCGGGAGUCAGACUGCGAGUGAUAAGAUCCGUAGUCGAAAGGGAAACAGCCCAGACCACCAGUUAAGGUCCCCAAAUAUAUGUUAAGUGGAAAAGGAUGUGGGGUUGCUUAGACAACCAGGAUGUUGGCUUAGAAGCAGCCACCAUUGAAAGAGUGCGUAAUAGCUCACUGGUCGAGUGACCCCGCGCCGAAAAUGUACCGGGGCUAAACAUAUUACCGAAACUGUGGAUGAACCUCAUUAGAGGUUCGUGGUAGGAGAGCGUUCUAAGGGCGGUGAAGUCAGACCGGAAGGACUGGUGGAGCGCUUAGAAGUGAGAA
rnacentral:rRNA from 1 species